UACGAAGGGGGCUAGCGUUGUUCGGAAUUACUGGGCGUAAAGCGCGCGCAGGCGGCCAUUCAAGUCAGGGGUGAAAGCCCAGAGCUCAACUCUGGAACUGCCCUUGAAACUGUAUGGCUUGAGUAUGAGAGGGGUGAGUGGAAUUCCCAGUGUAGAGGUGAAAUUCGUAGAUAUUGGGAAGAACACCGGUGGCGAAGGCGGCUCACUGGCUCAUUACUGACGCUCAGGCGCGACAGCGUGGGGAUCAAACAGG
rnacentral:rRNA from 1 species